UCCCCCUUAGUUCAUUGGUGCUUCUUUAUUGGGGAGAUUAGCGGCCUGUUAAUUCACAUGUCACUGGUUCAAGUCCAGUAGAGGGAGCCA
rnacentral:tRNA from 1 species